AGAUGAUGAAGACGAUGACGACGAUGGCGGUGGUGGUGGUGGAGUCAAGCAUCCUUUAGAACAGCAAGUGCUACUACAGAAUCAUCAUCAUCAUCAUCAUCAUUACCAUUA
rnacentral:miRNA from 1 species